rnacentral:rRNA from 1 species
CCUUGCCGGACCUGACUGCUAUCGGAUUGACACUAAGCCAUGCGAGUCUUUGUAGUAAUACAAGGCAGACGGCUCAUCUAACGCGUAGUCAAUCUACCCUAUGGACGAGGAUAACCUCGGGAAACUGAGAAUAAUACUCGAUAGAACAUUAUGCCUGGAAUGGUUUAUGUUCCAAAUGAUUUAUCGCCGUAGGAUGGGACUGCGGCCUAUCAGUUUGUUGGUGAGGUAAUGGCCCACCAAGACUAUUACAGGUACGGGCUCUGAGAGGAGUGGCCCGGAGAUGGGUACUGAGACACGGACCCAGGUCCUAUGGGGCGCAGCAGGCGAGAAAACUUUGCAAUGUGCGAAAGCACGACAAGGUUAAUCCGAGUGGUUUCUGCUAAAGAGACCUUUUGUCGGUCCUAGAAAUACCGAUGAAUAAGGGGUGGGCAAGUUCUGGUGU